rnacentral:rRNA from 1 species
UACGUAGGGUGCAAGCGUUAAUCGGAAUUACUGGGCGUAAAGCGUGCGCAGGCGGUUGUGCAAGACCGAUGUGAAAUCCCCGGGCUUAACCUGGGAAUGGCAUUGGUGACUGCACGGCUAGAGUGUGUCAGAGGGGGGUAGAAUUCCACGUGUAGCAGUGAAAUGCGUAGAGAUGUGGAGGAAUACCGAUGGCGAAGGCAGCCCCCUGGGAUAACACUGACGCUCAUGCACGAAAGCGUGGGGAGCAAAACAGG